AACGAACGCUGGCGGCAGGCCUAACACAUGCAAGUCGAGCGGGCAUCCUUCGGGAUGUUAGCGGCGGGCGGGUGAGUAACGCGUGGGAACGUACCCUUUGCUACGGAAUAGCCUCGGGAAACUGAGAGUAAUACCGUAUGUGCCCUUCGGGGGAAAGAUUUAUCGGCAAAGGAUCGGCCCGCGUUGGAUUAGGUAGUUGGUGGGGUAAUGGCCUACCAAGCCGACGAUCCAUAGCUGGUUUGAGAGGAUGAUCAGCCACACUGGGACUGAGACACGGCCCAGACUCCUACGGGAGGCAGCAGUGGGGAAUCUUAGACAAUGGGGGAAACCCUGAUCUAGCCAUGCCGCGUGAGCGAUGAAGGCCUUAGGGUUGUAAAGCUCUUUCAGUGGGGAAGAUAAUGACGGUACCCACAGAAGAAGCCCCGGCUAACUCCGUGCC
rnacentral:rRNA from 1 species